rnacentral:rRNA from 1 species
UACGUAGGGUGCAAGCGUUUAAUCGGAAUACUGGGCGUAAAGCGUGCGCAGGCGGUUUUGUAAGCCAGAUGUGAAAUCCCCGGGCUUAACCUGGGAAUGGCAUUUGGGACUGCAAGGCUGGAGUGUGGCAGAGGAGACUGGAAUUCCUGGUGUAGCAGUGAAAUGCGUAGAUAUCAGGAGGAAUACCGAUGGCGAAGGCAGGUCUCUGGGCUGACACUGACGCUCAUGCACGAAAGCGUGGGGAGC